CGUGCAGGCGGGUUGGUAAGUCAGAUGUGAAAGCCCUGGGCUUAACCCAGGAAGUGCAUUUGAAACUGCCAUCCUUGAGUAUGGGAGAGGAGAGUGGAAUUCCCAAUGUAGAGGUGAAAUUCGUAGAUAUUGGGAGGAACACCCGUGGCGAAGGCGACUCUCUGGACCAAUACUGACGCUGAGACGCGAAAGCGUGGGAGCAAACA
rnacentral:rRNA from 1 species